rnacentral:rRNA from 1 species
AGCCACAGCCAUAUCACCCUGCAGCCCAAGACUCACUAAAGCUAAGCAGGACUGAGCCUGGUUAGUACCUGGAUGGGAGACCACAUGGGAAAACUAGGUUGAAAGUGAUGU